CUCUAACUACCUCUAACCACACUGACCUGUUUCUGGAGUGCCUUUCCCUGAAACUCACUCUUGAGCCAGGGAAUACCCGUUUGUCCAUUCUCCUUCCAGAGCUAGAGAGUUCUCACUGCUUCAUUUCAAUUCAGUUGCUGAGGAUAGGGAGAGUUGGUUAAGGUCUUGAUAUGGGUAGAAGAGCUUUGUUAACAUCCAAACAUCUAAACGCCUUUGGAUGAGGGAGAUUCUUCUCCCUGAAAUGGAUAAACCCAGGCUCCAUUCAUGUGACACACAGUCCAAUUCCCACAGUUUUAGCAGUUUCCCGGAGGCCAAUAUCUUUUUCCUACACCUUUAAAUGUAUGCAAGUUGGAGUAUAUUGUUUCACUGAGUAAGCCUUGAGAGGGGGCAUAGUUUCAAUAUAUUCAUCCAUGUUGUGGAGACAUCGAGAUGCAGCUCCCAGGCAGGGUCAAGUAAGGACUGGUGACAGGUGCAAGUAGGGGCUGGAAUGCCGCCAUUGAGAAGAAAAUGUUUUUCUCAUUUUGCCUUUAACUAUGUUCUGAUGUGUCCCGUUUCUGUGGAAGCAGAUCUCAUGUUCUCUUGGUUAUGGUGAAGAUAUUCUGAUAAUAGGAAGAGAGUUGAUUUGUUGUAUGAAUGUUUUAAGAAGUAGCAUUUACUUAGUCUUAUUUCUUUGUUUAGUCAUGUCUCAGAUGUUCCUGGUAUCGUGGGAAUAAUGAUCUUGUGGUGUCUUGCAAAGUGGAAAUUGAGGGAUCCAAUUAAACCAGCUCUAUUUUCUCCUGAUGGAAGUCCUUCAGAGAUGAAGAGGUGUCCUCUGUUACUGAGGCCAUGGCUUCUCUAAAGGUUGACAAACAACCAUGGAGAAGGAUACUACAGUGACAACCCCAUUACCUACGUGUGGUCAGGUUAAGCGUUUAACCACUGAAGGACUAAAAAGUGUUGUCUUGUAUGGGAAAGUCCUGUACUUCUGAGCAUUUAUUUUUAGCAAUGUGUGCUUUACUUACAGUAUCUUCUGCUGAGGUCAAUGUGAGCUAGUGGGCUUAUAUUCCUAAUCCAC
rnacentral:lncRNA from 1 species